GGGCCCGACGUCGCAUGCUCCCGGCCGCCAUGGCGGCCGCGGGAAUUCGAUUAGAGUUUGAUCAUGGCUCAGAACGAACGCUGGCGGCAUGCCUAACACAUGCAAGUCGAACGAAGGCUUCGGCCUUAGUGGCGCACGGGUGCGUAACGCGUGGGAAUCUGCCCCUUGGUUCGGAAUAACAGUUAGGAAUGACUGCUAAUACCGGAUGACGACGUAAGUCCAAAGAUUUAUCGCCGAGGGAUGAGCCCGCGUAGGAUUAGCUAGUUGGUGUGGUAAAGGCGCACCAAGGCGACGAUCCUUAGCUGGUCUGAGAGGAUGAUCAGCCACACUGGGACUGAGACACGGCCCAGACUCCUACGGGAGGCAGCAGUGGGGAAUAUUGGACAAUGGGCGAAAGCCUGAUCCAGCAAUGCCGCGUGAGUGAUGAAGGCCUUAGGGUUGUAAAGCUCUUUUACCCGGGAUGAUAAUGACAGUACCGGGAGAAUAAGCUCCGGCUAACUCCGUGCCAGCAGCCGCGGUAAUACGAAUCACUAGUGAAUUCGCGGCCGCCUGCAGGUCGACCAUAUGGGAGAGCUCCCAACGCGU
rnacentral:rRNA from 1 species